AUGGUCUGCUUUUGUUUUCUGGUGGACCAGACUAAGGAGAUGCAGCGGAGCAAGCCGGCGGCGGGAACUUGCUCACGGUGCGGCGGUGGUGCUAGCGUGGCGGAUAUGAAGACAGCUACAAGAUUUUGCUAUGUUCCGUUUUAUACGAAAUCUUGGAGAGCUAUUGUUUGCACUUUUUGUGGAGCUGUUAUUCGUUCAUACCACCACUAA